CAUUAGUUACAGAAGAUAAUCUGAAAGUUUCAAUGAAAAUCUACCAAUAGUUUAUAAGCCGUGGAUGAGAGAUGAUGAUGGACAAACAGACAGAAAACACAAAUCUUCCCAUUGCAGAGGCGGUUUAGAGGGUCCCCCCCCUUUUGUGGGAAAAAAAUUGUUGAUUAUAAAGGGAAUCACUUGGGCUGGCCUGGUCCCCUCUUAGGCAGUCAGUGGAGUAAAACCCAACCCAAAACCCAAACAUUUUUAUUUGGGGUCAAAAACUUAGUAGUUAAAAUAUUUAACAGGGGACUAGUUUCAUAUUCUCUUUUCAUAGUGUUUGGCCAUCAAAAUCCUACUAUUUUGGAUUGUAACCGACAAAAUUCAUUUCACAAAGCACUUGUAAGGCUUACAUGUACAUAACUUAAAAAUAUAUGUAAACCUAUGUACGUCUUGUGGGUACUUUGAGAAACCAUAUGGCAUACCUUUGGGACCCCUCAAAUAACAAUAAUUUCAGUUUAAUUUUUCAUCAAUCACAAAA
rnacentral:lncRNA from 1 species